rnacentral:lncRNA from 1 species
UGGGUUUGCGGGUACAAUUGCCAUCCCUAAGCCCGCAGAGCAAUAUAUACAUAUAUAGAUUGUUCGCUUAGAAACAGCAACCUCACUCAACAGAAAGUUGAGAGGAUAAUAGAAGAGAAAUGGCGGGGGCAGUGAAGAGAAUCAAGCUGGGUUCACAAGGUCUAAGAGGUUUCAGCGCAAGGCUUAGGAUUCAUGGGCAUGUCCGCCUUCUACGGGCCCCGAAGCCCGAAUCCGAUAUGAUAGCCUUGAUCCACCAUGCCAUUGACAGUGGCAUCACUUUACUUGACACUUCCGAUUCUUACGGACCUCACACAAAUGAAAUCCUUCUGGGCAAAAGUAUUUAUAAGUUCUCUAUAAUUUUAGUUAUUACAUGUAAGCACUUGAUUUAACCAGUUUUUAAUUAGUUUCAUUUGACUGACUAUUGGAGUUCGAAUCCUACAAAGAUUAUAAGAAAAAAAUUGAUUUGGAUUUUACCCAUCCUUUAAAAAACACAUAAAAAAUUUGUAAGCAUGUGACUAUCAUUAUUGACAAUAUAGUUACGACAAGAAGUCUGCAAGAAUUUCAUUACAGAUUAGAUUAAUUUUCAAGUAUUUAGAAAAAAAAAUCACUAUAAUAUCUCACUCAAAUACUUAAAAGAUUAUUCAUCGAGUGAUUUUCAUACUUAUGUCCUAUUUGGGAUUGAGAUUGAACGGCUAUAGUGUAAAAAGAAUAGCACUAAAGUAUUUGGUAAAAAGAAUAGCAUUAAAGUAUUUGGUAAACACUGGCCGGUAUAGCGUGAAAACUAAGUUGAUUUGAUUUUAUACUUGUAUGAUGAAAAAUUUAUUAUAUCUUUACUAAUUUUUAAAAAAUUAUUAUUUAAAAAUUAUAUUUAUUACAUAUUAUUAACUUUUACUUUAUAAUUACAAUAUUUUUUUCAUAACAAUUGUAACUCAAAAGGUACAGUACUUCAAUACCAAACAUAACCUUAGACCCUAGUUCUAAGAUAAUAGAAUGAUCAAAAGACAAUAUUUCCCUUACAAAUUGCUAUAGAGCCAGAUAGUUCAAAAGAGAUAAUUUAAAUAUUAGGGUGCGUACAAUAUUGUUUUCAAAUCUAAUUUUUUAUUUUCUAAAUUCAGAAAAUACUAGAUAAGUAUUCAAAAAUGAUACUAAAUAUAUUUUAAAAUUUAAAAAUAACAUUUUCAUUGUUAUUUUUAUUUCAAGAAAACAACAUUUGGAAAACAGGCCUUAAGCUUCACAAAAAAAAAAAAAAAAUUACUUUUUUUUGUCAAAAUUUUUUGGAAGAUAGUGACAGUCAUGGGCGGCUCCUCCUGGGCAAUUAUGAAGCCUUUCCUAGACCAUUACUUUUCCUUUAAAAUGUACCCUGAGCUCUUUCUAAAAAAAUUAAAUAAAAAGAAUUUGGGCAUAUUUUUUAUAUAACAAAAUACUUAUAAUUUAGUGAUAAUUGUGCUUUUUAGUAAUUUUAGAGACUUGGUUCAAAUUUCAAUAGCCAUAUAAUUUUAUUUCUCUAUAUAUUUCAUUCUCAAAAACUCAAAUUCUAUUUUUCCUCUUAAAUUUUAAAAAUAAUAGUAAUAUGUUGUUUAUUUUAAAUGUUGAACCUCAUUAUAAACAUUGAAAAAAAAGAAAAAUAAAUACUCCAACUUAAAUUAAAACUUUUUGAACUAAAUCCUACUUUAAAGUGUUUGGGUUUAAUCCAUAUCAGAUGCUGUAAUGGGUGACGCAAAUAAGUGGGCCUUUGCUCGUGGUGCAGGCGAAGCCGGCGCAGCCCAGGAUUUGGCUUUUUUAGUGGAGAAUUAUUAUUACUCCCACAUCUUGUUAAUUUCUAGGAUUUCUAAUAUAAAGCAGAUGAGAUGUUGCAAAGUCAUGCCAUGUGGGACAGUGGGAUCAACAGCGCCUUCAACAUUUAUAUUGUAAAUCCACGGUGGGAUCCAAAAUAUUUCCACGACCACACAUGCAAACACUUGAUUAUGACUCCAAAUCUCCAAUUUAAUUAAUUUAUUAAUCUUUUAAUUUUUUUGGUCCACUCAAAUUCAGUAAUCAUCUCAUGAGAGCGAUAUUAGUACAUUUAUAUAAUCAAAUACAUCCAGCACCACAAAGUCCAGAUUCCAAGGGCAGAUCUUAAAAUCAUAGAAAUAAUCAAAUAAAUAGUGGAUACUAGUUGACAUUCCCAAUUUGCCACUGGCCAUGUUAUUAUACUUUAUGUUAAAAACAGAUUAAAGGCAAUGGAUUUUGCCAAGUCUUUGUUGAACAAGUUCCAGCUUUACAGGUCUCAAGCCAAGGAAGCAACCAACUUGAGUAGAAGCCAAUAUUUCUUUUGGUCCCAUGAAAGACCUGGCUUCUCAAGUGCUUCCAUUAUCAUGAUAUGAUAAAAUCAUACUCCCACAUCUUGUUAAUUUGACAGCCCUUAGCCGCCAGUUUGGGCCAACUUUUAAUUGUUCGAUUGGAAAGAUUUUAAAAUAUUUGUGAAGCAUUAUGCCAGUAAUAUAAUUAAGGGAAAAUGACUAACACACCCUCAAUAUUUAGACAUAGGGACAAAAAUUUUCUAACAUUUUAAAAAAGAUAUUUACGUCCCCAUUCACUAAUAGAAACAAUUAUUUUUAACGAAAAUAGUAAUUUUAAUAGAUAAUUACCGUUAUACCCUUCUAACACAUAAAAAAAUAAUUGUUAAUUGUCCAAUUUGUCCAUAUAUUAUUAAUAAAAUUACAAAUAUACCCUCAUUGCUCAAAUAAUUGUUUAAAUUUUUAUCAAAUUCUCUCAUCAAGCCAAAUAAAUUUAAUCCAUUACUCAAGAAUAAAAAUAAAUAAAAUUAGUUAUUAAUGCCAUAAGAAUAACAAUUCUCUACAUGUCAAUCAUUUUAACUUGUAUAAUCAACAAAAUAAAAAAAAAGGCUGGUUACAACAAUAAUUACAAAAAUCUUAUCUUAAUUGUAUUAAAUAACAUAUCCAAUAGACAUAAAAAUUGAUAAUGGAUUAAAUUUAUUUGGCUUGAAGAGAGAAUUUGAUAAAAAAUUAAAUAGAGGAAUUGGCCAAUGAGGGUAUUUUUGUAAUUUUAUUAACAAUAUAUGAACAAAUCAGAUAAUUAAUAAUUAUAUUUUUAUGUGCUAGAAUAGUAUAACGGUAAUUAUAUAUUAAAAUUAUUAUUUUCGUUAAAAAUAACUGUUUUCAUUAGUGAAUAGAGGUGUAAAUUUCUUUUUCAAAACGUUAGAGAUAUUUUUAUCCCUUUAUCUAAAUGUUAGAGUUGUGUUUGUCAUUUUUCCUAUAAUUAAUAAAUAACAUUAUGACGUAUCGAUUAUUUAUCUAACUAUUCUCUUGUGUGAUUUGUAAAGUUAAUGAGGUAAAUGCUAACGUAUUCCAUUACGUUAGCAUUACGAGUUUUGAGAGGCCCGCAGAGCAAUAUAUCUACAUUGUUCGCUUAGAAACAGCAACCUCACUCAACAGAAAGUUGAGAGGAUAAUAGAAGAGAAAUGGCGGGGGCAGUGAAGAGAAUCAAGCUGGGUUCACAAGGUCUAGAGGUUUCAGCGCAAGGCUUAGGAUGCAUGGGCAUGUCCGCCUUCUACGGGCCCCCGAAGCCCGAAUCCGAUAUGAUAGCCUUGAUCCACCAUGCCAUUGACAGUGGCAUCACUUUACUUGACACUUCCGAUUCUUACGGACCUCACACAAAUGAAAUCCUUCUGGGCAAGGUAAUAUAAUUUAUCUUCUAUUUCCUUCCUUUAAUUUCAAAAGGGUAUGUUUGGAAUUGGCAAAUAAUAAUAUAUUGGCUUUGAUUAAUUUGGUUUUGGGAUUAGGCUCUGAAAGGAGGGUACAGAGGAAGAGUUGAAUUGGCUACUAAAUUUGGUAUCAGAUAUGAGGAUGGCCAGUACUCAUACUGUGGGGAUCCUGCUUAUGUAAGAGCUGCAUGUGAGGCCAGCUUGAAGCGUCUGGAUGUUGACUGUAUUGAUCUUUAUUACCAACAUCGCAUUGACACUAAAGUCCCCAUUGAAGUCACGGUUUGUCGCUUUUAAUUUAUAUAUUUGUCUCAAUCAUGCAUGUUAAACUAUAUUAGUCUGUUAGCCUCUGGGUAGCUCGGCUGCCAAUGAAUAUGAAACACAGAAUAUUUAAAAAUACAGACAUGGGUCACUUCGGUGGGUGAGGUUUCUGUUAUCAUGUACUAAUUCUUUUACUUGUGUUGUUUUUGUAAGAUUGGGGAACUCAAGAGACUAGUUGAAGAGGGUAAAAUAAAGCAUAUAGAUCUAUCGGAGGCUUUUGCUUCAACAAUUAGACGGGCUCACACCAUCCAUCCAAUAACAGUUGUGCGCUUGGAAUGGUCCUUGCGGUCGCGAGAUGUGAAGGAAGAGAUGUGAAGGAAGAGAUUGACUAUGAGUAGAUGAUUUAACAUUUGCAUGCUAACGCAAUUUUGGUGGUUGCUCUGCUCAGGGAACUUGGCAUUGGAAUUGUUGCUUACAAUCUUCUAGAAUGUGAGUUUCUUUCAUCCGGACCAAAGUUGAUACACCUCUUUGCAACCAAAGGAUGCAUCGGUUAAGUUUACAUUGUUCGCUUAGAAACAGCAACCUCACUCAACAGAAAGUUGAGAGGCUAAUAGAAGAGAAAUGGCGGGGGCAGUGAAGAGAAUCAAGCUGGGUUCACAAGGUCUAGAGGUUUCAGCGCAAGGCUUAGGAUGCGUGGGCAUGUCCGGCUUCUACGGGCCCCCGAAGCCCGAAUCCGAUAUGAUAGCCUUGAUCCACCAUGCCAUUGACAGUGGCAUCACUUUACUUGACACUUCCGAUUCUUACGGACCUCACACAAAUGAAAUCCUUCUGGGCAAGGUAAUAUAAUUUAUCUUCUAUUUCCUUCCUUUAAUUUCAAAAGGGUAUGUUUGGAAUUGGCAAAUAAUAAUAUAUUGACUUUGAUUAAUUUGGUUUUGGGAUUAGGCUCUGAAAAGAGGGUACAGAGGAAGAGUUGAAUUGGCUACUAAAUUUGGUAUCAGAUAU